AACUCUCUCUCUCACUGUCGUCAAAAAACAACAGUGUACCAAUGCCUGCCAGCUGCAGUUCUGGGGCUCCAAAUUUUGGCUAUUCUGGAUUCCCCAAUGAGAAGCCAGCAGGACAGUGGGUACCUGAAGAUAAAAAAGAUGAAAGCAUUAUGAAGCUGGCUCCAAGGGUGCGUGAAUUACAAAAUCGGAUGCAGGAAUGGACAGAAUGGGCUGAUCAGAAGGUUAUGCAGGCUGCUCGUAGAUUGAGCAAAGAUAAGGCUGAACUUAAGACACUUAAACAAGAGAAAGAAGAAGUGGAGCGCCUUAAGAAGGAGAAGCAAAGUUUGGAGGAGAACACAAUGAAAAAACUAUGCGAGAUGGAAAAUGCUUUAUGCAAGGCAAGUGGGCAGUUGGAGCGGGCUAAUGCUGCUGUCCGUAGGCUGGAGGUGGAGAAUUCAACAUUGAGACAAGAGAUGGAGGCUGCAAAAUAACAAGCAGCACAGUCCCUUAGCAUGCAUAUUGUUGUUGUAUGAGAAGGAAACUGCAGGCUCUGCUGAAAAACCAUUUACUGCUGUCGGACCAACCCAUUCUUCGGCUUCUGAAGAAAAGUUCAUUGGAAGCAGAAAGAUCUCUGGUAUAACUAAAAGAGAGUACAUACUUCGGCAUAAGUCGAUUCAACUGGAGAAAAGCUAUCGUACUUGUGGAUCCAAAGGUGGCUCUAGGGCAGGAAAACUCAGUAGUUUUGGUGGUUUAGUUUAGGAUAAAAAAGUAAAGUCUGUGGCAGAUUCUACAGGUCUAAGUGUAAGAAAUGCCACCUUAAAGAUUAGCAAGGAAAUGGGAACCUGUUUGCCUCAGGACACCUUGCACAAUGAUCUUUUGAAUACAAAUGGUCUGCCUCCUACAUUCAGUCUGGAUACUGUUAAUAAUACUAUUUCGUCAAUACCUAAGACUAAUUUUGUAUCAGCAAUACCUACAAUCAGUGACCAAAAUUCACUACCAGCACCUGAUACUGAACUCUCUCUCUCACUGUCGUCAAAAAACAACAGUGUACCAAUGCCUGCCAGCUGCAGUUCUGGGGCUCCAAAUUUUGGCUAUUCUGGAUUCCCCAAUGAGAAGCCAGCAGGACAGUGGGUACCUGAAGAUAAAAAAGAUGAAAGCAUUAUGAAGCUGGCUCCAAGGGUGCGUGAAUUACAAAAUCGGAUGCAGGAAUGGACAGAAUGGGCUGAUCAGAAGGUUAUGCAGGC
rnacentral:lncRNA from 1 species